AAAGACACUUAUGCCCAUAUACUUCGUGAGCUGCUCUUGAUAGCAGAAUGCUCAAUAGGUGAGUCACUUGUUCAAUGAUGAUGUACUCCUACAUCUCAUCUGUAUGCCAUACCAGUGUCUCCACACUUCUUAGUUAAGAGGAUAACCAACCUAUAUGACACACAAUGACCUUUACUCGAUAAACAUCAUCAUCAUUUAAAGAUGUAUCAUUUAGUUACAAAUAUGUUUAAGAACUAUACGAUAAAUCCUUCUUUAUCGAUUACUUUAUAGUUCUAAAGACUUCAUCACAAUACAAG
rnacentral:lncRNA from 1 species